UACGAAGGGGGCUAGCGUUGUUCGGAAUUACUGGGCGUAAAGCGCACGUAGGCGGAUAUUUAAGUCAGGGGUGAAAUCCCGGGGCUCAACCCCAGAACUGCCUUUGAUACUGGGUAUCUGGAGUCCGGAAGAGGUGAGUGGAAUUCCGAGUGUAGAGGUGAAAUUCGUAGAUAUUCGGAGGAACACCAGUGGCGAAGGCGGCUCACUGGUCCGGUACUGACGCUGAGGUGCGAAAGCGUGGGGAGCAAACAGG
rnacentral:rRNA from 1 species